AACGAACGCUGGCGGCAGGCCUAACACAUGCAAGUCGAGCGAAGCCUUCGGGCUUAGCGGCGGACGGGUGAGUAACGCGUGGGAACGUGCCCUUUGGUACGGAAUAGCCCCGGGAAACUGGGAGUAAUACCGUAUGUGGUCGAGAGGCGAAAGAUUUAUCGCCAAAGGAUCGGCCCGCGUUGGAUUAGGUAGUUGGUGGGGUAAUGGCCUACCAAGCCGACGAUCCAUAGCUGGUUUGAGAGGAUGAUCAGCCACACUGGGACUGAGACACGGCCCAGACUCCUACGGGAGGCAGCAGUGUGGAACUUUAGACAAUGGGGGAAACCCUGAUCUAGCCAUGCCGCGUGAUCGAUGAAGGCCUUAGGGUUGUAAAGAUCUUUCAGUGGGGAAGAUAAUGACUGUACCCACAGAAGAAGCCCCGGCUAACUCCGUGCCAGCAGCCGCCGUAAAAC
rnacentral:rRNA from 1 species